rnacentral:tRNA from 1 species
CAAAAAGUAGUUUAGUUUAGAAUACUAGCUUUGGGAGUUAGUGGUAGGGGUUAAAUUCCCUUCUUUUUGA